UGGGGAAUUUUGGACAAUGGGCGCAAGCCUGAUCCAGCCAUACCGCGUGAGUGAAGAAGGCCUUCGGGUUGUAAAGCUCUUUCAGACGGAAAGAAACGGUCGCGGCCAAUACCCGCGACUAAUGACGGUACCGUAAGAAGAAGCACCGGCUAACUACGUGCCAGCAGCCGCGGUAAUACGUAGGGUGCGAGCGUUAAUCGGAAUUACUGGGCGUAAAGCGUGCGCAGGCGGUUUGGUAAGACAGAUGUGAAAUCCCCGGGCUUAACCUGGGAACUGCAUUUGUGACUGCCAGACUAGAGUGUAGCAGAGGGGGGUAGAAUUCCACGUGUAGCAGUGAAAUGCGUAGAUAUGUGGAGGAAUACCGAUGGCGAAGGCAGCCCCCUGGGCUAACACUGACGCUCAUGCACGAAAGCGUGGGGAGCAAACAGGAUUAGAUACCCUAGUAGUCCCUGAGCGGGCUGGCAAGGCGCAU
rnacentral:rRNA from 1 species